AGCGAACGCUGGCGGCAGGCUUAACACAUGCCAGUCGAGCGGGCACUUUCGGGUGGCAGCGGCGGACGGGUGAGUAACGCGUGGGAACGUGCCCUCUGGUUCGGAAUAACUCAGGGAAACUUGAGCUAAUACCGGAUACGCCCUUUUGGGGAAAGGCUUGCUGCCGGAGGAUCGGCCCGCGUCUGAUUAGCUAGUUGGUGAGGUAACGGCUCACCAAGGCGACGAUCAGUAGCUGGUCUGAGAGGAUGAUCAGCCACACUGGGACUGAGACACGGCCCAGACUCCUACGGGAGGCAGCAGUGGGGAAUAUUGGACAAUGGGCGCAAGCCUGAUCCAGCCAUGCCGCGUGAGUGAUGAAGGCCUUAGGGUUGUAAAGCUCUUUUAUCCGGGACGAUAAUGACGGUACCGGAGGAAUAAGCCCCGGCUAACUUCGUG
rnacentral:rRNA from 1 species